rnacentral:misc_RNA from 1 species
GGAAUCUUGAUUUCACUUGCUGUUGAAUUGUGUGAAAAAGUUAAGUUUUUUGGGGGUUUUAGCUAGUUCCUCUAUGCAUUUUAUAUGAUUUCAGUUUUGGGUAUUCUGGAAUCUUGAUUUUACUUGGUGUUGAAUUGUGUGAAUGAAGUUUAGUUUUUUGGGGUUCUUAGCUAGCUCCUCUAUGCAGUUUUUAUGAUUCCAGUUUUGGGUAUCUCAUAUAGUUCUUUAUAAAGCUCUUGUACUUGAGGGCUAUGGAUUGGGAUUCUUAAUGCUUGUUGUUUCACUGAAUUCUGUUUGAUGAGUGGCUUGAAUGAACAGAUAGUUUAAGCAUUUGCUGAUGGUUUUCUUCGAAAAAUGGAUUUUUGCUAAGCCUGGUAUUGUGGGGAAGUCAGUAGCUUGAGGAAGGUCUUUGAUUGGUUUGGUUGUUUGUUGAAUAUGGGUUGUGUUUGUUGUAAACUUUCCCGACAGGUCAAAGAUCGUCGGGAUGGCCAAAAGAAGAGAGAGUUAGAUAAAGGGGUAUCAGCUGUGAGUUCAAAGAGAGAAAAAAGUUUUAGGGUGAAAGAGAAAUUGGAGAAUGGUGAUAUAAGUGUUGGUUCAUUCGACAGGAAGUCUAAUGGAUCUAAAAGGGUCGGGGACAAUCACCGCAAGAAGCUUGAAGUUUUCCCAAAUGCAAUGGAAGGAGAGUUGAUUGCUGCAGGAUGGCCUUCUUUGCUUGCUGCAGUAGCCGGUGAAGCUAUUAAUGGUUGGAUUCCUCGCAAGGCUGAUACUUUUGAGAAAUUAGACAAGAUUGGCCAAGGGACUUACAGUAGUGUAUACAAGGCUCGUGACCUGAUUAACAAUAAACUAGUUGCACUCAAAAGAGUGCGGUUUGAUAAUAUGGAUAUUGAAAGUGUCAAAUUUAUGGCAAGG